GAUGAACGCUGGCGGCGUGCCUAAUACAUGCAAGUCGAGCGAACAGAUAAGGAGCUUGCUCCUUUGACGUUAGCGGCGGACGGGUGAGUAACACGUGGGUAACCUACCUAUAAGACUGGGAUAACUUCGGGAAACCGGAGCUAAUACCGGAUAACAUUUGGAACCGCAUGGUUCUAAAGUGAAAGAUGGUUUUGCUAUCACUUAUAGAUGGACCCGCGCCGUAUUAGCUAGUUGGUAAGGUAACGGCUUACCAAGGCGACGAUACGUAGCCGACCUGAGAGGGUGGUCGGCCACACUGGAACUGAGACACGGUCCAGACUCCUACGGGAGGCAGCAGUAGGGAAUCUUCCGCAAUGGGCGAAAGCCUGACGGAGCAACGCCGCGUGAGUGAUGAAGGGGUUCGGCUCGUAAAACUCUGUUAUUAGGGAAGAACAAACGUGUAAGUAACUGUGCACGUCUUGACGGUACCUAAUCAGAAAGCCACGGCUAACUACGUG
rnacentral:rRNA from 1 species